AUUGAACGCUGGCGGCAGGCCUAACACAUGCAAGUCGAGCGGAGCGGCGGACGGGGGGGUGAGGCCUGGUAAUCUGCCUGUUAGUAGGGGAUCCCGUCCGGAAACGGGCGCUAAUACCGCAUACUAUCAAGUGGGCCUAGGUCGGAUUGGCUAGUUGGUGGGGUAGAGGCCUACCAAGGCGACGAUCCAUAACUGGUCUGAGAGGAUGAUCAGUCACACUGGAACUGAGACACGGUCCAGACUCCUACGGGAGGCAGCAGUGGGGAAUAUUGGACAAUGGGCGAAAGCCUGAUCCAGCCAUGCCGCGUGUGUGAAGAAGGUCUUCGGAUUGUAAAGCACUUUAAGUUGGGAGGCGUUACCAACAGAAGAAGCAACGGCUAACUCCGUGCCAGCAGCCGCGGUAAUUC
rnacentral:rRNA from 1 species